rnacentral:lncRNA from 1 species
CCUGGGGCCGGGCCGAGCGGAACCAGGAAUCGCAGAAACGGUCAGCGCCCAGGGCUCUAGGCCGGCCGCCCCGGGUGCCAGGUGAAUUCCUUUCCCUGACCGGCUGUGAGACGUUGGCCCGUCAGCCGUCGUCUUUGGCCUGAGUGUGCACAUCUGUAAAAUGGAAGCUCGGACUAGUGAUCCGUGAGGACCUUCCACGUCUGACGUGUGAUCUCGAGAGACCUGCGUACAUUCGGGGUGCCAGAAGGAAAGCAUAGAGAUGGGGUCUUGCUGUGUUGCCCAGACUGGUCUCAAACUCCUGGCCUCAAGUGAUCCUUCUGCCUCAGCUUCCCAAAGUACUGGGAUUACAG